rnacentral:rRNA from 1 species
UAAUAGCGUAUAUUAAAGUUGUUGCAGUUAAAAAGCUCGUAGUUGGAUUUCUGGUAGGAGCGACCGUGCCGAACUUGAUUGUUCGAGUAUCGUGUUGUCUUCAGCCAUCCUCGUGGAGAACUUUUCUAACAUUAACUUGUUGGGAUUGGGACCCGCGUCGUUUACUGUGAAAAAAUUAGAGUGUUUAAAGCAGGCAUUAGCUUGAAUACAUUAGCAUGGAAUAAUAAGAUAGGACUUUGGUACUAUUUUGUUGGUUUGCAUACCAAAUUAAUGAUCAACAGGAACAGUUUGAGGAUAUUCGUAUGAGCAUGUCAGAGGUGAAAUUCUUGGAUUUUGAUCAGACGAACUACUGCGAAAGCAUUUAUCAAGGAUGUUUUCAUUAA